AGUAAAAGUCGUAACAAGGUCUCCGUUGGUGAACCAGCGGAGGGAUCAUUACAGAGUUGCAAAACUCCCACAAACCAUCGCGAAUCUUACCCGUACGGUUGCCUCGGCGCUGGCGGUCCGGAAGGCCCUCGGGCCCCCGGAUCCUCGGGUCUCCCGCUCGCGGGAGGCUGCCCGCCGGAGUGCCGAAACCAAACUCUUGAUAUUUUAUGUUUCUCUGAGUAAACUUUUAAAUAAGUCAAAACUUUCAACAACGGAUCUCUUGGUUCUGGCAUCGAUGAAGAACGCAGCGAAAUGCGAUAAGUAAUGUGAAUUGCAGAAUUCAGUGAAUCAUCGAAUCUUUGAACGCACAUUGCGCUCGCCAGUAUUCUGGCGAGCAUGCCUGUUCGAGCGUCAUUUCAACCAUCAAGCUCUGCAUGCGUUGGGGAUCCGCGUCUGACGCGGUCCCUCAAAAACAGUGGCGGGCUCGCUAGUCACACCGAGCGUAGUAACUCUACAUCGCUAUGGUCGUGCGGCGGGUUCUUGCCGUAAAACCCCCAAUUUCCAAGGUUGACCUCGGAUCAGGUAGGAAUACCCGCUGAACUUAAGCAUAUCAAUAAGCGGAGGAAAAGAAACCAACAGGGAUUGCCCCAGUAACG
rnacentral:rRNA from 1 species